GGGUCAGUAGGUUGGUCGUGCCACCGGUACGUACUGGUCUCACUGAUUCCUCCUUCCUGAAGAACCGUAAUGCCAUUAAUUUGGUGUUGCGGGGAAACAGGACUGUUACUUUGAAAAAAUUAGAGUGUUUAAAGCAAGCUAACGCUUGAAUACAUUAGCAUGGAAUAAUGAAAUAGGGCGAUCGAUCCUAUUUUGUUGGCUUCUAGGAUUGACGUA
rnacentral:rRNA from 1 species